UACCGAUCUACCAAACUAGUGGAUAUGCAUUUAUGCUAAGCAUGUCCUUCUGGGGCCCUGCUGUAAUCAGACCAGUUUUGCUUUUAUUUAUUUGUUUAUGUGGGCAUGCAAGAUUUCAUUUCAACAGAUAUUUUUCAUGGCUAGCAAGAGUUAGAAAAUUACAGAGACUCCCAAGCAUCUGGGAUUAGUCCUUUCCAAUCCCAUAGAUUUAUAAUUGAGAAGUCAGGAAAUCACCACUAGAAAUUCAUUAUAGCCACCUGACUAUUUUCAGAAGGAAGCAAAUUAUUGCUGAAGUUAUGUAUCCUUGAUUUUGAGAAUUUAACUUUGCUAUGUGAUCUACAUAUAACUUUAUGGUAAGCAAUGCAGUUAACAUCCAUGUUUCCAGGAGACCCUUUAACGUGUACUUUUGUGAACAUAAACAAUAUCUGCAGUGUGAAAAUGGGAAGGUAGAACAAAACAAUUUCCUUUAUAAAUGUACUUGGCUUCCUCCCCCAAAUCUGCAACUCCAGUCUAAUCAUAAGAAAAUAUCAGACAAACACAAACUGAGGAACAUUUUGCAAAGUACCUAACCAGAACUCCUCAAAACUAGUAAGGUCAUCAAAAACGAGGAAAGUGUGAGGAACUGUCACAGCCAAGUGGAGCCUAAGGAAACAGGACAAGUAAUCGUAAGAUGGUAUCUUGGGUGGGACCCUUGGACAGUAAAACAACAACAGGUACAAACUAAGGAAUUCUCAAUAAAUUAUAGAUUUCAGUUAAUAAAAAUGUAUCAAUAUUGAUUCAUUAAUUGUGACAAAUGUCACAAUAUACUACAGAAGAUACUAAUAGGGUAAAUUGUGUGGGAUGGUAUCUUUACUAUCUUUGUAAUUGUUCCAUAAAUCCAAAACUAUUCUAGAAUAUAAAAUUUUUUAAAUGUGAAAAGUGUGCUUGGUGAAAAACAUGUAUUUUCAAAAUUUUGAGUAAUCUGGAGGCUGUAGAAGCUAUGUACAGUUUUCAUAAAGGAGGAGAAAUAUUUAUGCUUAAAAGAGAUUAACUGUAAAUUACAUUUUGUUUCUGAAUCCUUUGCUGAUGCUUCAUUUCACCUGUGUUAACAUAGGAGCAAAGGAGAUAUUACAAGUUUAAAUUUGUAAAUUAAUUAACGGAUUGAGUAAAUUACCUGCAUUUUAUUAAAACACAUUUUGCCAUUGAGGAGCACCAACUUAAAAAAGUAUUCCUCAAAAUUGACAUUUCUUUACAGAAAAGUAGUGGAACAAGAAAUCUAAAUAUAACAAUCCAAAGUUUUAGUGGUGCAAAGAAGAAGCUGUUAUAUACAAAUAAAGUAUUUUUUUCUAAUAUGUGCCUUCUGAAGUUGGUAUGAGGGUAAUAAUACCAUUAUCUUUACCUAAAGUAUAAACAGUAAAUUAUUUUCUGAUCACACAUUUAUGGAAUGCUCACACAAUUGUACAGCACGGCUCACACAUCCUUUAAAAUGGCUAUCUGGCACCAGAGAUGGAUGGGGGUGGGGAUCUAAAUAUUCAUAAAAUGCCUCUAGAGAAGCAACCAUUUUUUUCUUGGACCUGAGAGAUGGAGUUUAUCUAUUCAGUACCCAUAGUGGGAAGGUCACAUUGUAAAUUUGCUGUAGAUCUGAAACUAAAUUUACAUCGCUGAACAGACUCAAACCUAGAAGAAGAUAUCACAUCUCUUUUGGAUCAUCCUCUAGCCUUCAUAUAAGUUACGUCUAAAACAUCAAGGUUAAAGAAACUUAUUCUCUAAGGAUUUCUAUGAUUGACAACUCACUCUUUCUUGGAGGAUUUAUCAACCUCAAAGCAUUGCUUCCUUACAUCUAACCAACAUCUCUUUCAAGUCAAGCCUGCUUCACCCCUUAUAGUUCUUUACUGACAGGGAGCAACGUGAUUACCACUCCUCCAUCUCAAAAAAAAAAAAGAAAGAAAAACUUAUUUUAGGCCUUAGCGUGUAGCAACAGUUGUUAAUGUUCAAUUGCUAAUUAUAGCAUAGAUUAGACCACGCAAAGGUAGCACAGAACAGUGUAACAUGAGUAACCUGUAUGACAGCAGAGACAUCAUUACUAUUAUGGUGGCAUUAUUAACAGAGUUCUUCCUGUAUUAGAAGAUCAUGCAUUUCCCCACCUUAGGGACUUAACUCAUCAAUUUGGUGAAAGUUCUAAAUCGUGACCUGACUAGCCUAGACUGAAGCAGCAGAGUUACUAAUCUCUCCUCAUAAUAAGUGCAGAAUCUCGAACCACUCAUGUCACCUCUGCAUUGUCAAUAAGCAAAAUAAUAGUGAGCAAUGGCAGAUGGAGCUAAAAAGACAUCUAAGAUCUUGGUCUCCUUGAAAGAGAAAAAAAAGCCCAUUCACAGAUAGAGUGGUAUGUGUGUGUUUGAGGUUGAAGUACUGAGAAAGGAGGAGCAAGGAGAAUGAAUGACAGAUGUGAAUAUUUUGAAAAAGUAAACUGGAUUAUUUUUUAAAAAUACAAUAAGAAGUAACUACAAACUGUUAUGAUGGAAAGUAAAAAACUAUCCAUUCAUCAAGAGUCAAACACACUUAUUUUCUUUCAACCUCAAGAAAACACAGUACUUCUUUUUGUCUGCUCAGGCCCUUCUUAAUCAUCUUUAGCUACUCUCCUUAAUGCAACUGUGUGCAUCUACAUGGGUAAGACUUUCCUAUUUUAAAUAAAAAGGAAACAUCUGGAUUGAUGGAAAUGACGAGCAUGCUUUAGAAAGGUGCUGUUGAACAGCAGAUAAUAAAGUACUCAUAGCCAAAAAAAUAUUAACAUUGUUUCAAGGUCAUGUUUUAUAUAAAAGAUAAUGCUUUCCUUUUGGAAUUUUAGAUGUUCCCAACCAUUCACACUGUUUGAAGUGCUGAGAACCAUCGACCCAACUCAGCUCGUAAUCUCCUUCGACUUUGAUGUUUCGCCAUGACCAGGCUCCAGGAGUUGCUCAAACAAAAAGAUGACAUAUCCUAAUGACCUGUGUGUUUUUCUUAAUGAUAGACUCAUAAAAAGAUGCUGAAGGUAGAGUAAAAAUAUAUGUGCUUACCUUUCUAUAUUCCUUCUCAUGUGUACUUGUGCAUAAGAACAUAAUUAUGUCUGGUUUUGUGCCUCCGGCAGACGCUAUUGUUUACUCACCCAGCAGGUACAUCUCAUCUCCUCCCUAUUUGUUGAACUGCUCCAAUUUUUUUCAGGUAUGUUCUCUCUCAUAAGCUUACAGGAAGUUACCCAGCCCCGAAGAGUGAAUGCAGAUUAUUCUUUCUAAGCAAUCAUGGUCACUCCAGUCCCUUUCAUGGUAAUUAGUUUAGGGGUAGGCAUGAGAUGUAAGCAAGACCAAUGAAGCAUAAGAGAAUUUACGGAUUUGUGGGGAAGCUUUUCCUUCCUAAAUACAAAUUGUAAAAUAUAGCUUGCUCCUGCCUGGAUGGCAUCCAGCGGUACGUCAGAACCAACUUAGAUACUGACUCGUGAUGGUGCACAUCUCUUCCCAGCUCCACGUUCAGAGACAUCAUGUUGGACCUGGGAAUCGUUUGACCCUGGUGGGAAAAUUUACAACAUGAAAAUCAGCAAAUGCUGCAAAUUAAAACGCUUUUUAUUUUUAUUUUCCAGAUAAAAGGUGAUUAAACAUUUACCAGACCAUCACUGAGUGGUCUCUGGAAGUGUGAUGUUUGGCUCUAGUGACACCAUCUCGUUACCAGGAAUACAGACAUUAGUGGCACACUGAGAGUGCAGAUGGUGGAGGUGGGAGUGUGAUGGUGAUGAGAAAUCCUGAGUUCUUUAUAGCAUUCUUCAGCUGCUUAACCAGCCCUGGAAGCACUUCACCUUCAGAUCCUUUCUUAUGUUAACUAAUAGAUCUACAUUGUUUAAAUAUCUACUGCUCAAUAUCUUGUUACUUGACUUGAAGCUGAAAGUAGCAUGUACAGUCUGUGAAAACAGACAUAGAAUGGACUCAAUUUCUCCACUAAAGAAACUCUGAAAUUAUGUUUCAUUUUAUUAAAAGAGGGACUACCAGGACACAAUCGCAUCCAAUUCAGAC
rnacentral:lncRNA from 1 species